GACGAACGCUGGCGGCGUGCUUAACACAUGCUAGUCGAACGGGAUUUAGUAAACAGAAACCUCGGUGGAAGAUUACUAAUGAGAGUGGCGAACGGGUGAGUAACGCGUGAGCAACCUGCCUAUGACAGUGGGAUAGUCUCGGGAAACCGGGAUUAAUACCGCAUAAAAUCGUAGAAACACAUGUUUUAACGGUCAAAGAUUUAUCGGUCAUAGAUGGGCUCGCGUCUGAUUAGCUAGUUGGUGAGAUAACAGCCCACCAAGGCGACGAUCAGUAGCCGGUCUGAGAGGAUGAACGGCCACAUUGGAACUGAGACACGGUCCAAACUCCUACGGGAGGCAGCAGUGGGGAAUAUUGCACAAUGGGGGAAACCCUGAUGCAGCGACGCCGCGUGAACGAAGAAGGUAUUCGUAUCGUAAAGUUCUGUCCUAUGGGAAGAUAAUGACAGUACCAUAGAAGAAAGCUCCGGCUAAAUACGUG
rnacentral:rRNA from 1 species